AUGAGUGCUAAGUGUUAGGGGGUUUCCGCCCCUUAGUGCUGCAUCUAACGCUUUAAGCACUCCGCCUGGGGAGUACGACCGCAUGGUUGAAACUCUAAGGAAUUGACGGGGACCCGCACAAGCGGUGGAGCAUGUGGUUUAAUUCGAAGCAACGCGAAGAACCUUACAAAAUCUUGACAUCCUUUGACAACUCUAGAGAUAGAGCCUUCGCAUUCGGGGGACAAAGUGACAGGUGGUGCAUGGUUGUCGUC
rnacentral:rRNA from 1 species